UUGAUCCUGCCGGACCUGACUGCUAUCGGAUUGAUACUAAGCCAUGCGAGUCAUUGUAGUAAUACAAGGCAGACGGCUCAGUAACGCGUAGUCAACCUACCCUAUGGACGAGAAUAACCUCGGGAAACUGAGAAUAAUGCUCGAUAGAACAUUAUACCUGGAAUGGUUUAUGUUUCAAAUGAUUUAUCGCCGUAGGAUGGGACUGCGGCCUAUCAGUUUGUUGGUGAGGUAAUGGCCCACCAAGACUAUUACAGGUACGGGCUCUGAGAGGAGUAGCCCGGAGAUGGGUACUGAGACACGGACCCAGGCCCUAUGGGGCGCAGCAGGCGAGAAAACUUUGCAAUGUGCGAAAGCACGACAAGGUUAAUCCGAGUGGUUUCUGCUAAAGGAACCUUUUGUUAGUCCUAGAAACACUGAUGAAUAAGGGGUGGGCAAGUUCUGGUGUCAGCCGCCGCGGUAAAACCAGCACCUCAAGUGGUCAGGAUGAUUAUUGGGCCUAAAGCAUCCGUAGCCGGCUCUGUAAGUUUUCGGUUAAAUCUGUACGCUUAACGUACAGGCUGCCGGGAAUACUGCAGAGCUAGGGAGUGGGAGAGGUAGACGGUACUCGGUAGGAAGGGGUAAAAUCCUUUGAUCUAUUGAUGACCACCUGUGGCGAAGGCGGUCUACCAGAACACGUCCGACGGUGAGGGAUGAAAGCUGGGGGAGCAAACCGGAUUAGAUACC
rnacentral:rRNA from 1 species